UCAAAAGGGCUGCCUAUGAUCUUUUUAUCAACAUUUGAUGCAAACAAAAUCCCCUUUCCUAGGAUCCUCGCAGAACGUGUUUAUCUGGCCUUUUCAUUCCGUUGCCAUUUCUUCUCCAGCUUCUGAACGGAGGAAGGAAAGGGAGGCUCUGGGAGACACAAGGAAAGGUUAAGAUGGCUCAGCACCAUCUCAGCCUGGAAGCAACAACUUUCCCUGGAGUAAUCAAGACUUCUCCUUACUGAUUGCUUCCCUGCUCUGUUGCAAUGGAAAGAACUACUGGAAUAUGGUGUGUUGUUAGUCUUCCUAAGACUAAGUCUUGGCAGCUGCUGUAUUCCUAAUACUGAAGGGCAUGUGAGAACUUCAGCAAGGAAGGCAGAGGGGAAUGAGCUGUAAUCUCAUGGCAAGGUUCAAUGAGGCUGAGAUCAAAACCUGGACACAGAACUUUGCUGCUAAUCUGUGCAUUGUUCAAAAGAAGUCUUUCGAAUUCAUCAGAAUUUACUAACAAAUAGAUGUCAAAACGGAACUUGAAAGAGCCCCAAGUGCAAAGGGAGCAAGAAACACAACUGUCACCUGUGCUCCCGUCUUUUCCAGCUUGCCUUUAGGAGGUGCAGAUAAACUGACUGGCAAGGGGACAGAGAGAAGAAGCAUGCCCAUCCAUUGACUUCUGGGUGCCUUCAGGGCAGGGUCUUGGGGUACAGGAUGGAGGCUUUCUCUGCUGGCGUGAGAACAACCCCCAUGCCAGAGCAAGCAGUCUAAGCCACUGCUUGUAUUUCCAAAGGGGCCCAGAGCCCCAGGGAUGCUACUCAGUGUUUGGUGGUACUCUCCAAAGCAGGAAUGGGUACAGAAAAGGAGACUAAGGAAAUCUUACCAAGGAACUUCUUCUAUUUCACCUGUCUUUGGGAUAAGGAAACUAUCAUAGCAUCAGGCCUAAGGGGAGACUAUACCACAGCUGGAAGACAUAUAUGACCAUGAAGUUAUAUAAAUUUCCUGCACUGCAUUCUCAUCCAUGAAAUGAAGAGCUGGACUAAAUGGUUUCUGUCCACUCUAAUGUGUUAUUGUUUCAUGAAGCCUGUUUUAAUAACGAUCCUCAUCCCACACAAUGCAAUCCCAUCCAGAAGGCAGAGGCCUUUCAGGCCUGGUAAACCAUAACUGCUGGCCAUGGCCCUUGUGGACUGCAGAUUUCUAUGGUUUCUGUGGGCAACAUCCAGCUGCACAAGGAAGGAGCCACAGAGGCGAAGGGAAGGACACCGGUGAAGAGUAAUUCAGAAAUGAGACUCUUGGCUUCGCUCUCGUUUCAGUCCGAAACUGGGCUCCUGUUGGAGACACAAGACCUUUGAGCAGUGUUCCAUGUGUUUAUUCUACUUGUAUCAAAGAGACUUUCAUUUCCCCAUGGCAAAUUAUUAACACAUUCCUCCAAAGAUGGGAGGGUGGAGGCCCGGCCUUGGAGAAAAAAAAUAAUCACCGUUACAGUAAAGAGCUGUCUGAGAUGCGAUCUUAGCAGACACUGGCAUGAAAGCCCCACUGCUAAUCACAGGGGUUGGCUGAGCACCAAGGCGUUUGUGCCCAGAGAAGCAUAUCUGGGUGAUUUCUUGUCUGGAAGCUGACCCUUCUGUGCCCAGGAAUUUUCCACUGGGAAGCUAAUGGUGUUGGAGGUGGGGACCUUUGAAGGCACCCACAGCCGGUCACCCUCAACUUUAGCGGGAGACUAAAUCGUGAUGGCUGAUUGAACGGUGACUCUAGGUUCCAGGCUGUAAAUUUUCAUCUUUCAAGAUGAUUGGGUUGAGGAGAGGAGGGAGAGAGCAGGAGUGUGGGGGUGGAUACUGGAGGAGUCGUAAGUGGGGGCAGAAGGGAGGCCAACCAACCAGGCUUAGAUAUAGUUAAGACUUAGACUUAGUAACAGACAUGAAAUAGGCAGUAUAUCAUUGGGCCUUCUCUAAUGGAUCACUCCCCAAGGCCAAGGCUUGCAGGGAAUUGUUUUCAGACAGAUUGUGCUGUUUUCUAAAGCAUGUUAGCCUAAUUUACAGCGUCCAUACGAUGCUCGGGCGCCGCCUCUGAGAUACAGCUCAAUGAACUGUAUGCAGAAAAGGGCCAGGUGCGUGAAAGUACACAAGGGCGUAUUUGUUGUGGACCCCCAGCUCAGACUUCGUUUGUUGCCGCGCACCGCCCCCACCCUCUGCGCUCUAUGUGCUACAAUCCAGUUCGCGAGCUUCGGGCAAGGGGCUGGAGGUUGAGGAAACACGCAGAGACAGACCGGCACACGGACCUCCAA